rnacentral:rRNA from 1 species
AACGAACGCUGGCGGCAUGCCUAACACAUGCAAGUCGAACGAGACCAUCGGGUCUAGUGGCGCCCGGGUGCGUAACGCGUGGGAACCUGCCCUUAGGUUCGGAAUAACUCCCCGAAAGGGGUGCUAAUACCGGAUCAGGUCUUCGGACCAAAGAUUUAUCGCCUUGGGUGGGGCCGGCGUUGGAUUAGCUAGUUGGUUGGGUAAUAGCCUACCAAGGCGACGAUCCAUAGCUGGGCUGAGAGGAUGAUCAGCCACACUGGGACUGAGACACGGCCCAGACUCCUACGCGAGGCAGCAGUGCGGAAUAUUGGACAACGGGCGAAAGCCUGAUCCAGCAAUGCCGCGAGAGUGAUGAAGGCCUUAGGGUUGUAAAGCUCUUUUAACCGGGAUGAUAAUGACAGUACCGGGAGAAUAAGCUCCGGCUAACUCCGUG